GAAAAAUCAUUAGUAAUAAGGAACGGGGAAAUGGCAGGUGCUUUUUUGAUGUUCUACACAAAGACAAGGCAAUUUGACAUAGCAAAUUAUAAAUUAUUACAUGCAUUUGCAUGCAGAGAAUCAUUUGGUAACCUUGUGUAGUUUGAUCACUCACAACUUAAGUUAAUUUCAAUUCCUCCUUUAAACAUCUCCCAGAAAGAGCUUACAGUAAAAAAUUAAUCUUCCAAAUCCAAAUACUACCUUCUCCACACGAAAUGUUAUAGAACCAACUGAGUGUAGAAAUUGGUUUUGAUCUUG
rnacentral:misc_RNA from 1 species